GGGGUUAUAGCUCAGCUGGGAGAGCGCUUCGCUGGCAGUGAAGAGGUCUGCGGUUCGAUCCCGCAUAGCUCCACCA
rnacentral:tRNA from 1 species